GGAGAGGUGCCAGAGUGGUCAAAUGGCUCCGACUCGAAAUCGGCUGGGGGCUUUGCCCCACGCGGGUUCGAAUCCCGCCCUCUCCG
rnacentral:tRNA from 1 species